CACGGAGGAUCCAAGCGUUAUCCGGAAUCAUUGGGUUUAAAGGGUCCGUAGGCGGUUUUGUAAGUCAGUGGUGAAAGCCCAUCGCUCAACGGUGGAACGGCCAUUGAUACUGCAAGACUUGAAUUAUUGGGAAGUAACUAGAAUAUGUAGUGUAGCGGUGAAAUGCUUAGAGAUUACAUGGAAUACCAAUUGCGAAGGCAGGUUACUACCAAUAUAUUGACGCUGAUGGACGAAAGCGUGGGGAGCGAACAGG
rnacentral:rRNA from 1 species